UGGAACUGGCCAAGCAGCACAGCCUGCAGCUGGAUGUGAAGCUGAAGGUCACUGAAACCAAGAAGAAAAUAUUCAGAUCUACCUAGGCCUGAUGAAUAUGAUCAUCAUGCAGUCACAAGAGGAAAAUGACACAUCUUCAGCUAAUGUGAGUUGUGUCUGCUCCAUGGAAAUCUACAAAGCUAUGAUAAUUUACACCAGGUAAGGAUCUGCCCCAAAGCUUCUGCCCGCUGUGACCAUAGAAGAGUACUAAACUGAGGUAUUUCCAAUAUCUUGAGAUGCACUAACCAUGUGUUUUUGGAGUCAAGGAGGUGAUAGGUUGGAGAAGGUUGAGGAUAUGCUUCUUAGAUGGUUGUCUGGCCAGCUGAGUUCCUAUGGAACUGAUCAUUUGAACACUUCUGAGAUAUAAAUUUAAUUAUGUUAAGACCCAGCUGCCUUGGCUGUGCAUCACUAUUCAUUUGCAUCUAAAUAAAUACAUUUGAUGUAUAGAAGUUGUUGUCAGUGUGUCCUAUCUUUGGCAUCCCCUCAGCAAUAAUUCCAAGCUAUAUCAAACAAAAGGUUUUUCCUGUGCCCCAAGCACUAUCUUUCAGAUAAGAUUAGCUAAAGAACAAUGUAAAUGCCACUGGAAGGCAGCACUUGAAUUUCACUACAAACCUCAGUCUUUUACUCCCAGAACAAGCACAGCAGGAGACAGUGGAAGAGGAGUGGUCUCACACAACACUCCAUUCCCUGUGCUUAAACCACUAUCUAAAGAGACGGCUUUUGAGAGUCCAAAUUCAUCACCCACAUUUUCCUUUAUGGGGAGCCAGAUAAUUGCUGGCUAAUUGAUAUUCACCAUGUAGGUUUUCUUCCUUCCACUCCUCUGCCCCUACUUUCACAAGUGGGGGCCUUCCCAUUCAUUUGUUCCUCUUCAUCUCAUUUCUGAAAGAAAAUACACAAAGGAAGUGUAGAGCUUUCAUGGAUCAGAAGAUACCAGAGGAAAGGUCCUUGGAAGGAUGGUUUGCGGAAGUGGCCCAAGGAAGAAGCUGUUAGACGGGCAGUAGAGGAAACCCUGUCUGUGCCUCUGCUUUACAGUCCCUGGGCCGGAACCCAGAGUAGCAGACAGACCAGGAUUCCCUCCAAUCCUCCCCAUCCCACUACAGAGUCUCUCCAAGAGAGGGGAAACCAAAACUAUGGAGGGGUAUUCCCCCAGACUGUACCGUAGCCUAUGAUGCGUAGGGCUCAGCAGGCUGUGGCCUUUGCUUCUGGAAAAGAAGAGGCUAUGUGGAGGGUCACAGCGAGCCUCUGAAGCAAACACUAUCUGCCAGGAGGCACAGGACCCUUGGGGCAUGGUCAGAGCUUUGCCAUGUACAAUAUUCUUGUUCGGAGGGUUUUGUUUUAAAUUAGGGAACAUGUUUACGAUCCUGUUCCUGGCUCUCCUAUCAAAAAAUGUGCCACAUAUUUAAAGACCUAGAUAAGAUUUUCAUCAUCAUUACUGUGUAGUAACACGUCACCCUUCCAUUCAGACUGUGUGUUCUUUACUCCAGUGAAGUACGUCUUCCUAGUGGUUUCUGAAGCAAGUAUCAAAUUCCCCCUCUGUUAUUUGCUAAGCUACAUUAUAUUUCCUUUGAGAAAGAUUGAUGUUUGAUUCUCCAAAAGUUUGAUUAUAUUUAGUGACCCCCUUAAAUCCCCAGGUAGGGACUUUGAGCCUUUUGUUUCAUUAAGAGCUUGUUUUUGUAAGAGACAUCUAAUAAGAUCUCCAAGAGAGAGAACCA